CUGGGGGCUAGUGGAGAUGACCAGCUGGAGAUUCGGCUCCUUGGAGAGACAGUGGUUGGCUGGACCUGAGCUCCAGAGGAAGGAGGGACACUUGGAACAAAAAGGAAAUAUUGCUCUGAUCUCACCAAAAGGAGACUGAAAGACCACCAACCAGGGACAGGAGCUUCCUGAGUAGGAGCUGAGGCCUCUGUGUGGCAAUUUAGUGAGAGCAUAGCCGGUCAUCAACUUCUGGUUGGGCAAAGACAACAACAGACAUGUCCAAGUUCAGCCUCAGGAACCACCUUGGAUGGCAGAAGCUGGCC